rnacentral:rRNA from 1 species
UACGGAGGGGGCUAGCGUUGUUCGGAAUUACUGGGCGUAAAGCGCACGUAGGCGGCUUUGUAAGUUAGAGGUGAAAGCCUGGUGCUCAACACCAGAACUGCCUUUAAGACUGCAUCGCUUGAAUCAUGGAGAGGCGGGUGGAAUUCCGAGUGUAGAGGUGAAAUUCGUAGAUAUUCGGAAGAACACCAGUGGCGAAGGCGGCCCGCUGGACAAUGUAUUGACGCUGAGGUGCGAAAGCGUGGGGAGCAAACAGG